AAGUCGUAACAAGGUAACCGUAGGUGAACCUGCGGUUGGAUCAUUACCAAUUCUUUCAUUUUUCUUUCACGUUGUGCUGCUCUGUGCUGCUCUGUGCUAAGCUUCGUUUUGGGAUUAGCAUACACUGAGAGGUCUUUGUGUAGUGCGGUCUUUAAGAGCUGGCCAGUGAAUAGAAAAAAUGAAUGAACAAAAUGUGCACCUGUAAUUGUACGUUGGCGGCUGUCCAGUGCUUUGUGCUGUGACUUGCAUUAAAUUGCAAAGGCCGUCAAUAGUGUGUUUCUUUUAACAAACGCUUUAAAAUUUCAUUUCCAAACUUUAUUAUUUUACUUCAUUCUUUCUUAAUUGAAACCAAGAACAACUAUUAACAAUGGAUCUCUUGGCUCUC
rnacentral:misc_RNA from 1 species